UUACCUGGUGGGGGAGGUGGGAAGGUGGAAGGAUGCUGAACAUCUGCAGUCAGCUGGGGGUCCCACGUGGAGGUGACCCCUUGGUCUUGUACAAACGGGGGGACUAAUCCCUGCAAAUGGCCUGAAGGAUGGGAGGUGAAGGGGCAGGAGGGCAGAGGCUACACCAUUACACACUCGGUGCCCAGCCGGGAGGAGUGGGAGACACAGGGCUGGCCCAUGGCGAGCCUCUAACUGCUUGGCCCAGUGCUCCGCUGUGCACUCCACCCACACCCAGCCUGCCCUUCCCGCUGGCAGGUGCACCACGGCCCGCGCCCGCGUGUGGCUCUCCCAGGGUUCGCCAUGCUCCGUGGUCUCCUGCCAACGGGUGGGGUGGGGGUGUAGGAUCCUCAGGAAAGAGACCUCAUCCCCUGGGCCUCUCUCCCUGACUCCUAAGCACACCAGGCAAAGAACCUGCCCCUCAGAGGGAGGUGCUGAUGGUGCACCUCCUGAUUCUUGCAGUGAAAUGUGAGAAGAGCUAGAGGGAAGAGGCUAUUAAGACGUGGAGGCGCGGAGAACUGCCAGGGGCUGGAAUGACAGGCAAGGCCUCCCCAGGCUUCCUGGAGCUGUCACAACGAGAGAGGCUGACAAUUACUGCCUCCCAGAUGAAAACCAAGGGCCUCGCUCAGAUUCUGGGGGAGCGGUUGCAGCGGCCGUUCUUCACUGAUCCCCACACGUGAGGGGUCUUCCCAGCCUGCGUGAGGCCGCACAGCAAUGGACGGGGUCCGCACGGAGGCUCGGCCUUGAGCUCCUAGUCCAGCUGGGUCAGCAUUAGCUUUCCUCGCCUUCGAGAGUCACUGGCACCCGUGUCUCGGUUUCCCCAUCAGGAAAACUCAGGAGGCUGGACCAGAUGAUCUCUAAGGCUUCCAGCUCUAACUUUCUCAGAAGCUGUGAUUCCCUCUCUUUCCAAUUUUGGAGAUAAAAUAGGGAUAAAUCCUGAGGGCUACAAGGAGAAAGAAUUCCAUUAUCCCCCGUGCUGAGUGACCCUGGGUCUUGGCGAGGAAUGCAGUUGACAGGGGAGACAAAUGGACCUGGAGAAGCUUCUGGGACUGUCCUGCAGCCUGAGGUGGGCCGAGAGAAGGGCUGGGAUGCGUCCUGGCAGGGUCCCUGUUUCAGGCUGCCUCUUAGGAACAUGCGGACUGCACGCCGAUCCCAGAGAUGAGCAGUCAGAAGCAGUGUGUUUCUCCUCUCUUGUGGCAUCUACUUCUUCCACCUCCCAGGCUGAGCCGAGGAAGGACAGUGUUACAGGAGAGGAGGUCCCUGCGAGCCCCUGCCCAUGCGAGGUU